rnacentral:rRNA from 1 species
UACAUAGGGUGCAAGCGUUGUCCGGAAUUAUUGGGCGUAAAGAGCUCGUAGGUCGUUUGUUACGUCGGAUGUGAAAACCUGAGGCUCAACCUCAGGCCUGCAUUCGAUACGGGCAAACUAGAGUUUGGUAGGGGAGAUGGGAAUUCCUGGUGUAGCGGUGGAAUGCGCAGAUAUCAGGAGGAACACCGAUGGCGAAGGCAGGUCUCUGGGCCAAUACUGACACUGAGGAGCGAAAGCGUGGGGAGCGAACAGG